AACAUUGUUAGUCUAUAAACGCCCUGACACACAUCCCUCUGUCAACUGGAGCUUACCUAUGCAGUUGUAACGAGGGUUGAGUAUCAUAGUGAUUCACAAGAUAAAAUGGAUCUUGCUGAUGCUCUGGGUGGACCAGAAUUGUCAAGCCAGAACAACCCACAGAGUGGGCCGCCUAACCAGCCAACAUGGCCAGGACAGCCGGGUGCUCCACCUGCUUGGCCUGGACAAUAUCCAAAUCCUUCCCAACCAGUGUGGCCUGGACAACCAGGAGUUGGUCAGCCUGGUCAGCCAACCUGGCCUGGACAACCAGCAAAUCCUUCCCAACCAGUGUGGCCUGGACAACCAGGAGUUGGUCAGCCUGGUCAGCCAACAUGGCCUGGACAACCAGCAAACCCUUCCCAGCCAAUGUGGCCUGGACAACCAGGAGUAGGUCAGCCUGGCCAGCCAACAUGGCCUGGACAACCUGGGGGUCAGCCUGGCCAGCCAACAUGGCCCGGACAACCCAGCCAACCCACUGCACCUGGAUGGCCAAGCCCAAACCCUGGUCUUGGUCCUGGCCCGGGCCUUGCCCCACCAACUGCUCCACAACAAAUACCACUGAGUGUCCCAUUUAAACAGCACCUGCCUAGGGGCUGCUACAACAGGAUGGUCAUCACCAUUCACGGAAUGGUUAACCCGAAUGCCAAAAAGAUCACAUUGAACUUGUCCAAAGGAAAUGACAUUGCCCUACAUGUCAACCCCCGCUUCGAUGAAAUGGGCAAGAAAACGAUUGUGUGUAACAGUAUGAUAGGAGGUCACUGGGGCAAAGAGGAGAGACACAACACCCACUUCCCAUUUAUUCAGGGCAAGCCUUUUGAGAUGAAGAUCAUGUGCACUGACAUGGGGUUUAAGGUGGCAGUGAACAACAUUCACAUCAUGGAUUUCAAACAUCGCAUUCAUGACCUCGCGUCGAUCAACAUACUGGACGUUUACAGUGAUAUCACCCUAACAUCUGUGGACGUCAUCUCUAUCUAAUAUCUAACUGUUGGUUCCAGUCAUAGGCUUGACCAUUCUAGUCAUUAUAUUUCUAUCAGGUUAUAUGAAUAUAUAUGAGUCCCGCAACCUAGAGAUUAAACAGAAACAUACAGUAGCUUGGGUCCUCUGCUCUUAUCUAUGACUAUCAUAUUCUGUACUUCUACUAGACCAGACCAAUCAAUUCUUUGUGUGGAAAUGCAUAAAAUGAUUACAAUCUUUGGAUAAAGGAGUUACCCAACAUUUUGAA